rnacentral:tRNA from 1 species
CUUUUAAAGGGUAGCAGUCACCCGCUGGCUUUAGGCGCC